rnacentral:rRNA from 1 species
UACGUAGGGCGCAAGCGUUGUCCGGAAUUAUUGGGCGUAAAGAGCUCGUAGGCGGCUUGUCACGUCGGAUGUGAAAGCCCGGGGCUUAACCCCGGGUCUGCAUUCGAUACGGGCAGGCUAGAGUGUGGUAGGGGAGAUCGGAAUUCCUGGUGUAGCGGUGAAAUGCGCAGAUAUCAGGAGGAACACCGGUGGCGAAGGCGGGACUCUGGGCCGAUACUGACGCUGAGGAGCGAAAGCGUGGGGAGCAAACAGG